AACGAACGCUGGCGGCAUGCCUAACACAUGCAAGUCGAACGAUCCCUUCGGGGAUAGUGGCGCACGGGUGCGUAACGCGUGGGAACCUGCCCUUAGGUUCGGAAUAACUCAGAGAAAUUUGAGCUAAUACCGGAUAAUGUCUUCGGACCAAAGAUUUAUCGCCUUUGGAUGGGCCCGCGUUGGAUUAGCUAGUUGGUGGGGUAAAGGCCUACCAAGGCGACGAUCCAUAGCUGGUCUGAGAGGAUGAUCAGCCACACUGGGACUGAGACACGGCCCAGACUCCUACGGGAGGGAGCAGUGGGGAAUAUUGGACGAGGGGGGAAAGCCUGAUCCAGCAAUGCCGCGUGAGUGAUGAAGGCCUUAGGGUUGUAAAGCUCUUUGACCCGAGAUGAUAAUGACAGUACCGGGAGAAUAAGCCCCGGCUAACUCCGUG
rnacentral:rRNA from 1 species